UGGGGAAUAUUGCACAAUGGGCGCAAGCCUGAUGCAGCCAUGCCGCGUGUGUGAAGAAGGCCUUCGGGUUGUAAAGCACUUUCAGCGAGGAGGAAGGUGGUGAGCUUAAUACGCUCAUCAAUUGACGUUACUCGCAGAAGAAGCACCGGCUAACUCCGUGCCAGCAGCCGCGGUAAUACGGAGGGUGCAAGCGUUAAUCGGAAUUACUGGGCGUAAAGCGCACGCAGGCGGUUUGUUAAGUCAGAUGUGAAAUCCCCGGGCUCAACCUGGGAACUGCAUUUGAAACUGGCAAGCUAGAGUCUCGUAGAGGGGGGUAGAAUUCCAGGUGUAGCGGUGAAAUGCGUAGAGAUCUGGAGGAAUACCGGUGGCGAAGGCGGCCCCCUGGACGAAGACUGACGCUCAGGUGCGAAAGGCGUGGGGAGCAAAACAGGAUUAGAUACCCUGGUAGUCCACGCUGUAAACGAUGUCGAUUUUGGAGGUUGUGCCCCUUGAGGCGUGGCUUCCGGAGCUAACGCGUUAAA
rnacentral:rRNA from 1 species